rnacentral:rRNA from 1 species
AUUGAACGCUAGCGGCAGGCCUAACACAUGCAAGUCGAACGAGUGGCGGACGGGAGAGUAAUGUACGGGAAAAUGCCUGGUGGAGGGGGAUAACUACUGGAAACGAUAGCUAAAACCGCAUUGCAUCGGAUGUGCCCAGAUGGGAUUAACUUGUAUGUGGGGUAACGGCUCCCCAAGUCGACGAUCCCUAGCUGGUCUGAGAGGAUGACCAGCCACACUGGAACUGAGACACGGUCCAGACUCCUACGGGAGGCAGCAGUGGGGAAUUUUGGACAAUGGGCGAAAGCCUGAUGCAGCCAUGCCGCGUGUAUGAUGAAGGCCCUAGGGUUGUAAAGUACUUUCAGUCGGGAGGCGGUACCGACAGAAGAAGCACCGGCUAACUCCGUGCCAGCAGCCGCGGUAAUUC